rnacentral:ribozyme from 1 species
UGCCCAGCAACUCCUAUCCAUACCUCCUCGUGGUACCGGCCGAAAUCUACGAGCAAGGGGGG